AGCAGCCGCGGUAAUUCCAGCUCCAAUAGCGUAUAUUAAAGUUGUUGCAGUUAAAAAAGCUCGUAGUUGAAUUUCGGGAUCAAAUUGUCGGUCGUGCCUCGGUACGCACUGGUAUUAUUGGUUCCUACCUUCUGAAGAACCGCGAUGUCAUUAAUUUGGUGUCGUGGGGAAUCAGGACUGUUACUUUGAAAAAAUUAGAGUGUUUAAAGCAGGCUUACGCUUGAAUACAUUAGCAUGGAAUAAUGAAAUAGGACGUUUGAUUCUAUUUUGUUGGUUUCUAGGAUUGACGUAAUGAUUAAUAGGGAUAGUUGGGGGGCAUUAGUAUUCAAUUGUCAGAGGUGAAAUUCUUGGAUUAUUGGAAGACUAACUACUGCGAAAGCAUUUGCCAAGGAUGUUUUUCAUUUAAUCAAAGAACGAAAGUUAGGGGAUCGAAGACGAUCAGAUACCGUCGUAGUCUUAACCAUAAACUAUGCCGACUAGGGAUCGGAUGAUGUUAAUUUUUUUAAUGACUCAUUCGGCG
rnacentral:rRNA from 1 species